rnacentral:rRNA from 1 species
CCUACGGGUGGCAGCAGUGAGGAAUAUUGGUCAAUGGGCGUAAGCCUGAACCAGCCAAGUCGCGUGAGGGAUGAAGGUUCUAUGGAUCGUAAACCUCUUUUAUAAGGGCAUAAAUUGCGUGACGUGUCCCGUUUUGUAUGUACCUUAUGAAUAAGGAUCUGCUAACUCCUUGCCAGCAGCCGCGGUAAUACGGAGGAUCCGAGCGUUAUCCGGCUUUAUUGGGUUUAAAGGGUGCGUAGGCGGCCUUUUAAGUCAGCGGUGAAAGUCUGUGGCUCAACCAUAGAAUUGCCGUUGAAACUGGUUUUCUUGAGUGAGCGAGAAGUAUGCGGAAUGCGGGGUGUAGCGGUGAAAUGCAUAGAUAUCACGCAGAACUCCGAUUGCGAAGGCAGCAUACCGGCGCUCAACUGACGCUCAUGCACGAAAGUGUGGGUAUCGAACAGGAUUAGAUACCCCGGUAGUC